rnacentral:rRNA from 1 species
GACGAACGCUGGCGGCGUGCUUAACACAUGCAAGUCGAACGCUGAAGCUUGGUGCUUGCUCUGGGUGGGUGAGCGGCGAACGGGUGAGUAAUACGUGAGUAACCUGCCCUUGACUCUGGGAUAAGCCCGGGAAACUGGGUCUAAUACUGGAUACGACAUGCCACUGCAUGGUGGUGUGUGGAAAGGGUUUUAUGGGUUUUGGAUGGGCUCACGGCCUAUCAGCUUGUCUGUGGGGUAAUGGCCUACCAAGGCGACGACGGGUAGCCGGCCUGAGAGGUUGACCGGCGACCAGGGGACUGCGAGACGGCGCAGUCGCGUACGGGAGGCAGCAGUGGGGAAUAUUGCACAAUGAGGGGAAGCCUGAUGCAGCGACCCCGCGUGCGGGAUGCCGGCCUUCGGGUUGUAAACCUCUUUCAGCACGGAAGAAGCGAGAGUGACGGUACGUGCAGAAGAAGCGACGGCUAACUACGUG